UACAGAGGGUGCAAGCGUUGUUCGGAAUUAUUGGGCGUAAAGGGAGUGUAGGCGGUGAGUUAAGUCUUCUGUGAAAUCUACGGGCUUAGCCUGUAACGUGCAGAGGAAACUGGCUGACUUGAGUGUCGGAGAGGAUAGGGGAAUACCCGGUGUAGAGGUGAAAUUCGUAGAGAUCGGGUGGAACACCAGUGGCGAAGGCGCCUGUCUGGCUGACAACUGACGCUGAGACUCGAAAGCAUGGGGAGCAAACAGG
rnacentral:rRNA from 1 species